rnacentral:rRNA from 1 species
AUUGAACGCUGGCGGCAUGCUUUACACAUGCAAGUCGGACGAGUGGCGAACGGGUGAGUAACAUAUCGGAAAGUACCGGGUAAUGGGGGAUAACUACUCGAAAGGUUAGCUAAUACCGCAUAUCAUUCGAGGGGCCCAUAUCUGAUUAGCUGGUUGGUGGGGUAAAGGCUUACCAAGGCGACGAUCCGUAGCGGGUCUGAGAGGAUGAUCCGCCACACUGGGACUGAGACACGGCCCAGACUCCUACGGGAGGCAGCAGUGGGGAAUAUUGGACAAGGGGCGCAAGCCUGAUCCAGCCAUGCCGCGUGUCUGAAGAAGGCCUUCGGGUUGUAAAGGACUUUUGGCAGGGAAGCGGUACCUGAAGAAGAAGCACCGGCUAACUCCGUGCCAGCAGCCGCGGUAAUAC